rnacentral:rRNA from 1 species
CAGCAGCCGCCGCGGGAAAACGGAGGGUGCAAGCGUUAAUCGGAAUUACUGGGCGUAAAGCGCACGCAGGCGGUCUGACAAGUCAGAUGUGAAAUCCCCGGGCUUAACCUGGGAACUGCAUUUGAAACUGUCAGGCUGGAGUCUUGUAGAGGGGGGUGGAAUUCCAGGUGUAGCGGUGAAAUGCGUAGAGAUCUGGAGGAAUACCGGUGGCGAAGGCGGCCCCCUGGACGAAGACUGACGCUCAGGUGCGAAAGCGUGGGGAGCAAACAGGAUUAGAUACCCCGGUAGUCCCUGUCUCUUAUAC